rnacentral:siRNA from 1 species
UGAAGGUGUUGGUUGAAGCUGC